rnacentral:rRNA from 1 species
UACGUAGGUGGCAAGCGUUAUCCGGAAUUAUUGGGCAUAAAGCGCGCGUAGGCGGUUUUUUAAGUCUGAUGUGAAAGCCCACGGCUCAACCGUGGAGGGUCAUUGGAAACUGGAAAACUUGAGUGCAGAAGAGGAAAGCGGAAUUCCAUGUGUAGCGGUGAAAUGCGCAGAGAUAUGGAGGAACACCAGUGGCGAAGGCGACUUUCUGGUCUGUAACUGACGCUGAUGUGCGAAAGCGUGGGGAUCAAACA